rnacentral:rRNA from 1 species
UGCCAGCAGCCGCGGUAAUACGAAGGGGGCUAGCGUUGCUCGGAAUUACUGGGCGUAAAGGGAGCGUAGGCGGACAUUUAAGUCAGGGGUGAAAUCCCGGAGCUCAACUCCGGAACUGCCUUUGAUACUGGGUGUCUUGAGUGUGAGAGAGGUAUGUGGAACUCCGAGUGUAGAGGUGAAAUUCGUAGAUAUUCGGAAGAACACCAGUGGCGAAGGCGACAUACUGGCUCAUUACUGACGCUGAGGCUCGAAAGCGUGGGGAGCAAACAGGAUUAGAUA